rnacentral:rRNA from 1 species
GGGCCCGCACAAGCAGCGGAGCGUGUGGUUUAAUUCGAUGUUACACGAAGAACCUUUACCAGGGUUUGACAUACAGGUGGUAGAGAACUGAAAAGGGAUUCGGACCCUUUCGGGGAGCCUGAACAGGUGCUGCAUGGCUGUCGUCAGCUCGUGUCGUGAGAUGUUCGGUUAAGUCCGCUAACGAGCGCAACCCUCGCUGUGUGUUACAAGUGUCACACGGUACUGCCGGUCUAAAACCGGGAGGAAGGUGGGGAUGACGUCAAGUCAGCAUGGCCUUUAUAUCCUGGGCUACACACACGCUACAAUGGCCGGUACAGUAGGUAGCGAAGCCGCGAGGUGGAGCCAAUCCACAAAGCCGGUCUCAGUUCAGAUUGCAGGCUGCAACCCGCCUGCAUGAAGAUGGAGUUGCUAGUAACCGCAGGUCAGCUAUACUGCGGUGAAUACGUUCCCGGGGCUU